GCCAGUCUGGCAUAGCGGUUUGAGUGCUGGUCUAGGACUCCGGGAGACCAGGGUUCAAAUCCCUGAUCAACCA